UGGGGGAUAUUGGACAAUGGGGGGAACCCUGAUCCAGCGACGCCGCGUGAGUGAAGAAGUAUCUCGGUAUGUAAAGCUCUAUCAGCAGGGAAGAAGAGAGACGGUACCUGAGUAAGAAGCCCCGGCUAACUACGUGCCAGCAGCCGCGGUAAUACGUAGGGGGCAAGCGUUAUCCGGAAUUACUGGGUGUAAAGGGAGCGUAGACGGUGAUGUAAGUCUGGAGUGAAAGGCGGGGGCCCAACCCCCGGACUGCUCUGGAAACUAUGUGACUGGAGUGCAGGAGAGGUGAGCGGAAUUCCUAGUGUAGCGGUGAAAUGCGUAGAUAUUAGGAGGAACACCAGUGGCGAAGGCGGCUCACUGGACUGUAACUGACGUUGAGGCUCGAAAGCGUGGGGAGCAAACAGG
rnacentral:rRNA from 1 species